CCCAGACUCCUACGGGAGGCAGCAGUGGGGAAUAUUGCACAAUGGGGGGAACCCUGAUGCAGCGACGCCGCGUGGGUGAAGGAGUACUUCGGUACGUAAAGCCCUAUCAGCAGGAAAGAAAAUGACGGUACCUGACUAAGAAGCCCCGGCUAACUACGUGCCAGCAGCCGCGGUAAUACGUAGGGGGCAAGCGUUAUCCGGAUUUACUGGGUGUAAAGGGAGCGUAGACGGCAGUGCAAGUCCGGAGUGAAAGCCCGGGGCUCAACCCUGGGACUGCUCUGGAAACUGUAAAGCUGGAGUGCGGGAGGGGCAGGCGGAAUUCCUGGUGUAGCGGGGAAAUGCGUAGAUAUCAGGAGGAACACCGGCGGCGAAGGCGGCCUGCUGGACCGUAACUGACGUUGAGGCUCGAAAGCGUGGGGAGCAAACAGGAGUAGAUACCCCCGUAUUA
rnacentral:rRNA from 1 species